GGGUCUGUAGGGUUCUCAUAGUAGUAACACUCUGAAGGAUUGGACACCACUGAGUCUAUGUAGAGAACACCCCGUAUCAGGCAGUCCAGCUCAUCUAGCUUCAGCAGCUGGAGGUCAGCCAUCUGAGGAGAGAGGAGAGGAGGUCAGCCAUCUGAGGAGAGGAGGUCAGCCAUCUGAGGAGAGAAGAGAGGAGGUCAGCCAUCUGAGGAGAGAGGAGAGGAGGUCAGCCAUCUAAGGAGAGAAGGUCAGCCAUCUGAGGAGAGAGGAGAGGAGGAGGUCAGCCAUCUGAGGAGAGAAGAGGUCAGCCAUCUGAGGAGAGAAGAGGUCAGCCAUCUGAGGAGAGAAGAGGUCAGCCAUCUGAGGAGAGAAGAGGUCAGCCAUCUGAGGAGAGAAGAGGUCAGCCAUCUGAGGAGAGAAGAGGUCAGCCAUCUGAGGAGAGAAGAGGUCAGCCAUCUGAGGAGAGAAGAGGUCAGCCAUCUGAGGAGAGAAGAGGUCAGCCAUCUGAGGAGAGAAGAGGUCAGCCAUCUGAGGAGAGAAGAGGUCAGCCAUCUGAGGAGAGAAGAGGUCAGCCAUCUGAGGAGAGAAGAGGUCAGCCAUCUGAGGAGAGAAGAGGUCAGCCAUCUGAGGAGAGAAGAGGUCAGCCAUCUGAGGAGAGAAGAGGUCAGCCAUCUGAGGAGAGAAGAGGUCAGCCAUCUGAGGAGAGAAGAGGUCAGCCAUCUGAGGAGAGAAGAGAGGAGAGAAGAGGUCAGCCAUCUGAGGAGAGAAGAGGUCAGCCAUCUGAGGAGAGAAGAGAGGAGAGAAGGUCAGCCAUCUGAGAACGGGAAGUCAUUUUCCUCAAUUCACCAUAUAACAGCAUUUAAAAAAUAUUUUAAAUUUCCUAAUACAUUUACUGACUAUACUAAACAUUAGGAACACCUUCCCCUUUUGCCC